rnacentral:rRNA from 1 species
UAGGGAAUCUUCGGCAAUGGGGGCAACCCUGACCGAGCAACGCCGCGUGAGUGAAGAAGGUUUUCGGAUCGUAAAGCUCUGUUGUAAGAGAAGAACGUGUGUGAGAGUGGAAAGUUCACACAGUGACGGUAACUUACCAGAAAGGGACGGCUAACUACGUGCCAGCAGCCGCGGUAAUACGUAGGUCCCGAGCGUUGUCUGGAUUUAUUGGGCGUAAAGCGAGCGCAGGCGGUUGAAUAAGUCUGAAGUUAAAGGCAGUGGCUUAACCAUUGUUCGCUUUGGAAACUGUUAAACUUGAGUGCAGAAGGGGAGAGUGGAAUUCCAUGUGUAGCGGUGAAAUGCGUAGAUAUAUGGAGGAACACCGGUGGCGAAAGCGGCUCUCUGGUCUGUAACUGACGCUGAGGCUCGAAAGCGUGGGGAGCAAACAGG